UCAGACGAUGCGUCAUGCAUAUCAAUAAGCGGAGGAAAAGAAACUAACAAGGAUUCCCCUAGUAACGGCGAGUGAAGCGGGAAGAGCUCAAAUUUGAAAUCUUAAAGGGUUUCCCUUUACGAAUUGUAGUUUAAAGAAGUGUUUUCUGUUGAGGUUUUGGUAAAAGUUCUUUGGAAUAGGACAUCAUAGAGGGUGAGAAUCCCGUAUUUGACCUUUACUUUCAACUUUGUGAUACACUUUCAAAGAGUCGGAUUGUUUGGGAAUGCAGUCCAAAAUGGGUGGUAAAUUUCAUCUAAAGCUAAAUAUUGGCGAGAGACCGAUAGCGAACAAGUACCGUGAGGGAAAGAUGAAAAGAACUUUGAAAAGAGAGUUAAACAGUACGUGAAAUUGUCAAAAGGGAAGCGUUUGACACCAGUGUUGUUUUUCUGAAAAUCAAUUAAAGAACUGUUUAUGCUAAGUUGUUUAGGACUUUAUCAGCUAUCUGUUUAGUUUUGAGCUUUUCUUUAAUGCACUUUUCAGUUAACAAGUCAACAUCAAUUUCUUUUGCUGUAAAAAAGCUUGAGGAAGGUGGCUUGAGAUUCGUCUUAAGUGUUUAUAGCCUCUUGCCUAUGCAGUCGGAGAGAUUGAGGUCUGCAGCGUAGAUCCUUCGGGGCUAAAUGCAUUUGUGCUAAGUUAUAGCAUUUUAUAGACAACUUGUUGACUAUGAUUUGUCUUGUAGCUUACUCGCUUAUGUUAUUUUACCUACGCUUAGGAUGUUGAGCGCAUGUCUCUCUCU
rnacentral:rRNA from 1 species